CCACCACAGGCACAGCAGUAGUUUUAAAAAGAGAAAAGGGAGAAAAAGCUACCAUCUGGCUAGAAUUUCCCGAAGCUGAGUGUGGGGUUACACUGCGCACAGAGCCAGAACCUGAUUUGGUGCUGUCCUUGUCUCUCCUUAACCCAUUUUCGGUUUGCUUUUUGUAGAACCGGUUUCUCAGCCUGGCUUGGAGGGGUAAGAGGAAUAGAUACAGCAGCAGUCUCCUGUCGUGGCCACUCUCCCCUUGCUCCCUCCUGCGCACCACCUUUUCACCAGAGUGGCUCUCCAGUCUAGCCAGCCUGCGGGGCUCCUAGCUUUGGCUUCCAGUAAAGCGCCAGCAGCCGUGACUCGGACACUUGGUGCUGAAACUAGAUCUUUCACCAAGGCUGGAGGCGAGGCGCCAGCCUAGAGCCAGAGGUGGCUGCCGCCCACGGUCCCCAGAACGUGGAGGGCAUCCUGGACCCCCAUCCCCCAGCUGACACAACCCUCCCCUUGGCCACCUUCAGGACCUCACCAGGAAUGUUAGAACACUCAACACGUAGUGAGAAGGCAAGGAGCAAAGCCACGGUGUGCUGUAAAGAAAAUACUCUUUCAUCCGAGGAGCCACAGGUGUGGAGCGUUGAAACGCUUUGAAGAAGUGUGUUGCUAAUAGCCCAUAUAUAAUUGCAGAGAAGUCUUCAAUGGAAGCCCUUCGUGAGAUAAAUGGACAGUCUUGGAGAGCAAUGGAGUAAGAGAAGAUGACACGGAAGAACAGAACCAGGACGGCAUCAAAAGCAGCCCAUCCCCCUCCAUGGCUGCUGGAACUGCUGAGCAGAAGGUC
ensembl:lncRNA